rnacentral:rRNA from 1 species
UACGGAGGGGGCUAGCGUUGUUCGGAAUUACUGGGCGUAAAGCGCACGUAGGCGGACUGUUAAGUCGGGGGUGAAAUCCUGGGGCUCAACCUCAGAAUUGCCUCCGAUACUGGCAGUCUCGAGUGCGGGAGAGGUGAGUGGAAUUCCCAGUGUAGAGGUGAAAUUCGUAGAUAUUGGGAAGAACACCAGUGGCGAAAGGCGGCUCACUGGCCCGUAACUGACGCUGAGGUGCGAAAGCGUGGGGAGCAAACAGG